AAAUUGAAGAGUUUGAUCAUGGCUCAGAUUGAACGCUGGCGGCAGGCCUAACACAUGCAAGUCGAACGGUAACAGGAAGCAGCUUGCUGCUUCGCUGACGAGUGGCGGACGGGUGAGUAAUGUCUGGGAAACUGCCUGAUGGAGGGGGAUAACUACUGGAAACGGUGGCUAAUACCGCAUAACGUCGCAAGACCAAAGAGGGGGACCUUCGGGCCUCUUGCCAUCAGAUGUGCCCAGAUGGGAUUAGCUUGUUGGUGAGGUAACGGCUCACCAAGGCGACGAUCCCUAGCUGGUCUGAGAGGAUGACCAGCCACACUGGAACUGAGACACGGUCCAGACUCCUACGGGAGGCAGCAGUGGGGAAUAUUGCACAAUGGGCGCAAGCCUGAUGCAGCCAUGCCGCGUGUAUGAAGAAGGCCUUCGGGUUGUAAAGUACUUUCAGCGGGGAGGAAGGUGUUGUGGUUAAUAACCGCAGCAAUUGACGUUACCCGCAGAAGAAGCACCGGCUAACUCCGUGCCAGCAGCCGCGGUAAUACGGAGGGUGCAAGCGUUAAUCGGAAUUACUGGGCGUAAAGCGCACGCAGGCGGUCUGUCAAGUCGGAUGUGAAAUCCCCGGGCUCAACCUGGGAACUGCAUUCGAAACUGGCAGGCUUGAGUCUUGUAGAGGGGGGUAGAAUUCCAGGUGUAGCGGUGAAAUGCGUAGAGAUCUGGAGGAAUACCGGUGGCGAAGGCGGCCCCCUGGACAAAGACUGACGCUCAGGUGCGAAAGCGUGGGGAGCAAACAGGAUUAGAUACCCUGGUAGUCCACGCCGUAAACGAUGUCUACUUGGAGGUUGUGCCCUUGAGGCGUGGCUUCCGGAGCUAACGCGUUAAGUAGACCGCCUGGGGAGUACGGCCGCAAGGUUAAAACUCAAAUGAAUUGACGGGGGCCCGCACAAGCGGUGGAGCAUGUGGUUUAAUUCGAUGCAACGCGAAGAACCUUACCUGGUCUUGACAUCCACGGAAGUUUUCAGAGAUGAGAAUGUGCCUUCGGGAACCGUGAGACAGGUGCUGCAUGGCUGUCGUCAGCUCGUGUUGUGAAAUGUUGGGUUAAGUCCCGCAACGAGCGCAACCCUUAUCCUUUGUUGCCAGCGGUCCGGCCGGGAACUCAAAGGAGACUGCCAGUGAUAAACUGGAGGAAGGUGGGGAUGACGUCAAGUCAUCAUGGCCCUUACGACCAGGGCUACACACGUGCUACAAUGGCGCAUACAAAGAGAAGCGACCUCGCGAGAGCAAGCGGACCUCAUAAAGUGCGUCGUAGUCCGGAUUGGAGUCUGCAACUCGACUCCAUGAAGUCGGAAUCGCUAGUAAUCGUGGAUCAGAAUGCCACGGUGAAUACGUUCCCGGGCCUUGUACACACCGCCCGUCACACCAUGGGAGUGGGUUGCAAAAGAAGUAGGUAGCUUAACCUUCGGGAGGGCGCUUACCACUUUGUGAUUCAUGACUGGGGUGAAGUCGUAACAAGGUAACCGUAGGGGAACCUGCGGUUGGAUCACCUCCUUACCUUAAAG
rnacentral:rRNA from 1 species